rnacentral:rRNA from 1 species
UACGGGAGUGGCAAGCGUUAUCCGGAAUUAUUGGGCGUAAAGCGUCCGCAGGCGGCCCUACAAGUCUGCUGUUAAAAAGUGGAGCUUAACUCCAUCAUGGCAGUGGAAACUGUUGGGCUCGAGUGUGGUAGGGGCAGAGGGAAUUCCCGGUGUAGCGGUGAAAUGCGUAGAUAUCGGGAAGAACACCAGUGGCGAAGGCGCUCUGCUGGGCCAUCACUGACGCUCAUGGACGAAAGCCAGGGGAGCGAAAGGG